GACUGACAGUGUGUGGAUAGUGCUUAGUCCCAGAAAUAGGCAUGUUUACCUGUGUGUGGUUAGUGUUCAGCACCAAGGACAGACAUAUUAGCCA
rnacentral:pre_miRNA from 1 species